GGAAAAAUCCACAACGCUGAGGUUGAAGAUAACAGAUCUACUGCAAAAUCCUUUCAAGACUUGAAAAAGGAGACAUUCCAAGAGCUCAAUUAGGCUGACAACUGCAAGAAUCAUCCAGGAAUGCAACGCAUGCAAGGAUCCUGCGGUGGGACAGUCUCCAUGCCAGCUGUCGACAAAAUGAGAGGAAUAAUAUUGUGAAACACCAGUUGGGACUAAAUCUGUUGAUGCCAAGGAAAAUACAGCAGAUCAGGGUCCUGGACAUAAGUGAGGACAACAGAGUGGAUUUAAUCUGCCUGAAUGAUUCAAACUGGGCUUGGAGCGUAUGACUGGCUGUCCGUGGGCAUGCACAUGUACAGUACGUGUAUAGGCGCCUGUGUUUAUCAUGUGUGAGCUUGUACUUUAAAGCUCAUCAGGGAGAAAGCAAUAGUUUCAGUAAUAGUUUCCAUCCACAGCUGGAAAUAAUAGAGAUUCCCAUCCAGGCACAGGCUGCACUGGAACCACCCUCCAAUGUUUCACAUGCAGCUGAAAGGGGGGGGGGGGGGGGGAUCCUUUUCUAUGGCCAUCCCAGGACUAAAUGAUACACAUGUUAUAUUAACCCCAAAUGGCCAUGUAGGUUUGGAUUUUUCUCUCUCCGUUAAU